UCCCGUGUAGGAUACCUGGCUUUCACCCAGGAGGUCCGGGUUCAAUUCCCGGCAUGGGAG
rnacentral:tRNA from 1 species